GAUGAACGCUGGCGGCGUGCCUAAUACAUGCAAGUCGAGCGAAUGGAUUAAGAGCUUGCUCUUAUGAAGUUAGCGGCGGACGGGUGAGUAACACGUGGGUAACCUGCCCAUAAGACUGGGAUAACUCCGGGAAACCGGGGCUAAUACCGGAUAACAUUUUGAACCGCAUGGUUCGAAAUUGAAAGGCGGCUUCGGCUGUCACUUAUGGAUGGACCCGCGUCGCAUUAGCUAGUUGGUGAGGUAACGGCUCACCAAGGCAACGAUGCGUAGCCGAACUGGGAGGGUGAUCGGCCACACUGGGACUGAGACACGGCCCAGACUCCUACGGGAGGCAGCAGUAGGGAAUCUUCCGCAAUGGACGAAAGUCUGACGGAGCAACGCCGCGUGAGUGAUGAAGGCUUUCGGGUCGUAAAACUCUGUUGUUAGGGAAGAACAAGUGCUAGUUGAAUAAGCUGACACCUUGACGGUACCUAACCAGAAAGCCACGGCUAACUACGUGCAGCCGCCGCAGUAA
rnacentral:rRNA from 1 species